AUACGUAGGGGGCGAGCGUUGUCCGGAAUUACUGGGCGUAAAGGGUGCGUAGGCGGCUGUCUAAGUCAGAUGUGAAAUACCAGGGCUUAACCCUGGGGGUGCAUAUGAAACUGGGCAGCUUGAGUGCAGGAGAGGAAAGUGGAAUUCCUAGUGUAGCGGUGAAAUGCGUAGAGAUUAGGAGGAACACCAGUGGCGAAGGCGGCUUUCUGGACUGUAACUGACGCUGAGGCACGAAAGCGUGGGGAGCAAACAGGAUUAGAUACCCUGGUAGUCCACGCUGUAAACGAUGGAUACUAGGUGUAGGAGGUAUCGACCCCUCCUGUGCCGGAGUUAACGCAAUAAGUAUCCCGCCUGGGGAGUACGGCCGCAAGGUUGAA
rnacentral:rRNA from 1 species